UCCUGACUGACCGAUAGUGAACCAGUACCGUGAGGGAAAGGCGAAAAGAACCCCGGCGAGGGGAGUGAAAAAGAACCUGAAACCGUGUACGUACAAGCAGUGGGAGCACGCUUAGGCGUGUGACUGCGUACCUUUUGUAUAAUGGGUCAGCGACUUAUAUUCUGUAGCAAGGUUAACCGAAUAGGGGAGCCGAAGGGAAACCGAGUCUUAACUGGGCGUUAAGUUGCAGGGUAUAGACCCGAAACCCGGUGAUCUAGCCAUGGGCAGGUUGAAGGUUGGGUAACACUAACUGGAGGACCGAACCGACUAAUGUUGAAAAAUUAGCGGAUGACUUGUGGCUGGGGGUGAAAGGCCAAUCAAACCGGGAGAUAGCUGGUUCUCCCCGAAAGCUAUUUAGGUAGCGCCUCGUGAAUUCAUCUCCGGGGGUAGAGCACUGUUUCGGCAAGGGGGUCAUCCCGACUUACCAACCCGAUGCAAACUGCGAAUACCGGAGAAUGUUAUCACGGGAGACACACGGCGGGUGCUAACGUCCGUCGUGAAGAGGGAAACAACCCAGACCGCCAGCUAAGGUCCCAAAGUCAUGGUUAAGUGGGAAACGAUGUGGGAAGGCCCAGACAGCCAGGAUGUUGGCUUAGAAGCAGCCAUCAUUUAAAGAAAGCGUAAUAGCUCACUGGUCGAGUCGGCCUGCGCGGAAGAUGUAACGGGGCUAAACCAUGCACCGAAGCUGCGGCAGCGACGCUUAUGCGUUGUUGGGUAGGGGAGCGUUCUGUAAGCCUGCGAAGGUGUGCUGUGAGGCAUGCUGGAGGUAUCAGAAGUGCGAAUGCUGACAUAAGUAACGAUAAAGCGGGUGAAAAGCCCGCUCGCCGGAAGACCAAGGGUUCCUGUCCAACGUUAAUCGGGGCAGGGUGAGUCGACCCCUAAGGCGAGGCCGAAAGGCGUAGUCGAUGGGAAACAGGUUAAUAUUC
rnacentral:rRNA from 1 species